AGCAAGAAUGUUGUUUAAAAUAUCAUAUUCGGGAUUGUUUUCGCUUGUAUUCUGCUCCAUUAUUUUCUAUUCCCUUCGAUAAUAGUUCAAAUGUUGGUGACAACAGUGAGGGGAAACGACAAGAAAUGUGGAAGACUUAGAGAAAAAAGAAUAAUGAGGGAGAGGAUUACAAGUGUCUGACAAACUACAAAAUACUAUUAGGUGGGUCUAUUUAGUUUAGCAGGUUCUUUUAGGAGAAAUAAAUAUCGUUAUAUUAGCUGUUGUAAAUAACUAAUGAGCAGAAUAUAAGAACAACAAAAGUAAAGAAUGACAACACGAAGACAAUGUAUGAGGCAAUCACAUGGGUUGCUGGGUUUGAUGUUGAAACACAAGGUUGCCCGAAUGAAUCAUAGAUGACAAUAGCAUACAUACAGUAACAUCUAAAGUUGUUUAUAUACAAGAGUUGAGAAGACAUUAAACUAAUUUAGCGAGCAGAUAGUAGGAGUGUUGAUUUGUUCAAAUGUGGACAAAAAGCAGCAUUUAAGAACUAUAAUGAAUCAAGCAUCUAAACGACCUCUGUUAUCCCGCCUGCACAAGUUUUACAACGUAACCUUAACCUCAAUUAUCGAUGCUGUUUUAGAAAGAUCCUUUUCUGAAGUGUUUAAAAAAUAAAAGAACAUGACAAACCUUCACGGAAAUUCCGGAAAUGGAGCCCGAUGAAGCAUUAUAACAAUGUUGUAAAUAGAGCGGCCAUGAUGAAUCACCCGGAUGACGGUCGGUGUGACGUCACCAGAAAAAAGCCACCCCGCUGCAGAAAGAAAUGUUACUGGGUUUAUUAUAUAUGUGUAUAUAGGUAUAUGUAUAUCUAUGUAUAUAUAUCCCUACGAUGAUACAUCGACAUAUAGCUCUAUGAUUGAAUUUUAUUUAUUGAACAAGAAUAAUUAUUAUUUCUCAGUACAUGACGCUGCUGUUCCCCAUCCCAGGAUCUCUCAGGCCCACACCUCCCACACCCGCAGGAUUGGCACACUUAAUGUUGGCACAAUGAAAGAUGUAAGGCCCUUAAUGCAGCUUACCGUUGAUGGAGCUCCAUCUGUGCUAAUGCCGACACACAACUUCCAUGAUAUUUGCUAUUUGCACAGGAAAUUAUUCAAAAUGUUGGAAACAUCUUUGCCCUUAGCAGUUGCACUUAAUUCUUUGCAAAAAAGAAAUUGAUUUAUAAUUUGAUCUUCAUCAAGAAAACGAAUAAAUGUUAAGAGCUGCGCUUUGUUGGCAUUGUCUGUUGACUCAUCAAUUUGUAAUGCAAAAUCUGAAUAUUAAAGCUUAUUACUACAAACAUCUUUCUCAAUAUCAGAUGACAUUUCUAGAAUACAUCUGUGAAUACUAUCAUUGGACAGAGGGAUUGUAUUUAUUUCUUUUGCUGCUUCAUUUCCCAGCAUUGUCCUCACAAUCUUCUUACACACAAGCAGAAUCAAUGACUCACCUAAAGUAUGAGCUUUCAUAUUUUGUGCUAUUCGUUCUGAAACCUCAUAAGAAGUGAUUUGAGAUUUUUCAGAAAUAGUCAUUAUACUUUUCAAAGAGUUUCCUGUUAUUCCUGCUAUUCUAAUAAUUUUUCGAAAUAACUUAUAGAUUUACCUUGUAAAUGAGAGUGCUUGGUUUUCAAAUGCUUGCUCAGUUUACUAGGAAUCAAUAAUUUGUUUGAUAUUUUGCAUCCACAUAUUAAACAGCGGCAAAGGAUCAUCAAUGUUUCCAGUCCAAUGAAAACCAAAUCUUAAAUAACUUUCGUCAUAUUUACAAGUAGACCACGCUUUGGCUCUCUUACUGGAACUGUUUCCACUGUGUUCACUUCUGGAAUCACAUUCAUGUUUCUAUGUUAGAAAUCCAUCCAUUUUUAUGGGUGUAUUAUUGUAUAUUUAUCUGAAACUUUUAUCUAUCAUUUACUUUUAACAAAUGUAACACUAUAAUAGGUUAAAAUUCCAUAAAGUAUUAAAGUUUUAGGUGGUUAAAUAGAUAUAUCAGUGACAGGAAUAUGUGUCACCAAAAAAACAUUGUACUAUUUAUCACAACACCUCCACUUGCAGAACCUAUUACUGCUACUGUCACCACUACACUACAGCACAACCUUAGCCGUGCUUGCUCAUCAGUACAAAACUCAUUUGAACAACUUUACAACGUGUAUAAAACCUUCUUCCAAGCAACCAGCUGUUCCUUGUUGGAUAUCUUUCCGCUCUUAACAAAUAAUAAUGAUCUGUCAUAAAGAACAUUUCAAUGUUGAAGUGAGGAUAUAAUGUACUAUAACUUCAUUUUUUAUCAUCACAAAUAUCUACCUAGACCCUAGAAUUUCGUGGGGCACACCUAAGCAUGUCUCUGGGCACGCUAGUGCACCUGGGCACAUCCUUUGGGAACCACUGCUCUACAUUAAGUCCCAGUCAACUGCUCUCUCUCUUUUUCUCUCUCUCUCUCUUUUUCUCUAUCUCUCUCUUUUUCUCUAUCUCUCUCUCCAGCUGUCAUAUGCUUCAUGUCUACUAGGUCAUGAGUGAGGAGGCCAAGAGGAGAUAUGUGUCUACUCACAAGUACAUAACUACCAAAAAAAAUUAAUAAAAAUAUGGUACUUGCUAUUAGGUCAUGCUCACUAAUGAUGGCUGUACUUCUUUUAUGAUGGAUAAUUAAAAAAAAAAUAAUCUAAAAAUUUAGGUCGACUUUGUUUAGUGGAUUUUCUAAGUAAUGACAUAUCUGGACAUCAAAUGUAAUUGGCUUCGAUUAUUUUGUUCAAAGUAGAAUAUUGAGCAGCUACAAGGUUUUAUCUCAUUACAAUUUCAGAAGCUAAAACUCAUUGCCAUCACAUUAAACUAAAUUCAGGAUAUAUAAUUGAAAAAGCAAAAAAAAAAGCACAGAAGAGCAGUUGUCUCUCCAGCUCCUGGAAGCUAAAAGCAAAGAAGUGCAUUACCUAAUUAACCAACAAAACACUGCUCUAGAUUUGAACUUGGAACCUCCAGUAAUACUGAUAUGUAAUACUCCAGUAUUACAUAUCAGAGAAUACUUUGGAAAAUAUUUUACUUUAACAGUAUACCAUUCUGCUGUAAAAGACAACAUAAAGUGUUGGUUAGCAAGUUAUCUGACAGGCCACAUGGAAUUGUAUCAUGUAGAACAACAAGCUAUUUCCUCAAUGGAAUACCAAAAAGAUCUGUUCUCACCUACUUUAUUUUAAAUCUAUAACACAGCCUCAUGUGUAGGUAACAUCAGAGUCACAUCCUUCCUCCAAUAUUAUAUUAAUCAUAAGAAAACUUAACUUGAAAACAAUAAACAGUAUCUACCAAAUCCACCAUUUAACUUUCAUGUCAACAACACCAAGGAACAAACAGUUAUUUCACUCAGCAAUAUAAUCAAAUCACACAUAUGCAUUAACUACAAGCCACACACACAUUAACUAGAAUUAGCUUUUGUGAUCAAACCCCACAUACAAGACAAAAACACUUGGAGUUAUACACAACACCUCUACAUUAAAUAUAAGACAGAAAAGAAAACAAGGUUACAUACAGACAUCUUUUGUACACUUUCAUAUUCUUCAUUUGGUCAACAGAAACAGCAAAAGGGUGCAAAUAAUGCAUUAGAUUUAUCAUAGAUUGUGCCAAGCCUGCCUGGAACUCCAACCUUUCUAAAAUUAACUAUAAUGAACAGAAAGCACUGCAUAUCACAUUAUCACAAAACAGUGCAUGUUGCCUUGACACAAGUUGCAUACAGACAAUUUGCACAACAAGAGAUACUAAAAACUGACGACCACCUCAACAUGUAUGGUGAACAUUUUAAUAUUAGAACAAACUAGUUCUUGCUGCCCCCAUCAUGCAGAAUCUCACCUAAACAAAUAUAUCUCAACACCAUUCUAAAAAUACUUUCCUUCUCAUUCUGUCCAGACAAAUAUUAAAAGCUCUAUAUACAAAAGUAGCAGCUGCAUCAAUAACCUCAUUCAUUUUGAGCCACUGAGGGAACUUCAUAUGGUCAUUGAACUUGCUAGAAGGAAACAUAAGACAACCAAAUUCCUUCAAAUCACAACCCUACCACCUUAAAAGAAAGGACACAUGAGACAAUGUAAUCCUAGAUACUUCUAAAAAGGUGGGAUGAUCAAGGGUUGAAUGCCUUUGAUCUGCUCAAAUAGGGACAACCUAGAACUAAACAACAACCUUAUGAACUUUUUAAACCUCUGAUUCAGAGCACCAAUGGCAAGCAUGGGAGGACAGCAACUGCUGUACUCCAACUGUGGUCAACUUUAUGUUGUAAAUUCAAAUCAUACAAGGAUCAACUUUCUCUUUUAUCACCCCCAGGUCAAUAAAAUAAGUAGUUACGUGCAUUAUGACCAAUUUAAUUGGUUAUUCAAAAUGCCUGGCAUUGUGUCAUUAUUUCAGACAUCCAGAAAAGAGGAUAAAUUCUUUAUCAUUAUCAUUUUAAGAUUUAUUAUUGUCUUUUUUUCUGUCAUUUCAUUAUACGUAAACCCCCACGCUUUAUGUUUGUGUUUGCAUUGUCCCCCUCAUCCUUCAC